UUAAUAUGAGUUGUUGUUGUUUUUGAAUUUAUUUAUUUUAUUGUCAUUUGUCUUCAAAAUUUAGUGUAAAAAACAUAAAUGCUGUGUUUGUUUUUAAAGAAGCGACAGACGUGCUGCUCUUGAGUUUUCUUUGGGCCCAGUGGGGUGAAAAGGUCUCUGGGUCCAGCCCAGCUGUAGAAAAGUCUCUCAUGGGUCACAUUUUAUCUCUGUGACUGAUGUGGAGUCAGUGGCCAAGCCUGCCCAUGACAACCCAUUAUUCAGGAGAGUGAACCCUCAAGCGAGAGCUCCAGAAAGAACUCUCCCAAGAGGGUGAACAGGGAGCAAAAUGGCAGAAGAGAGGUUCAGCAUAAAUGAGUGCCAAAUGAUGCCUCCGAACGAGGGUUGCCAACUGUUCCGCACAGCGCGGGAUGUCCCGACUUCCUGCGGGGGGGAAAUGCUCAUCCCGUUCGGGACUCAAUUUCUCCCGCUUUUGGACAUUAUUUUAUUUACCUUUUUUGUUUACUUUUCAUGCUGCCUCUGGUGUGCGCAUGUGCAGAGGUCUGAAAUCAGCCCGAUCUGACUCAAUUGGGAGAAAGGUUGAUCCGGAUAAGGCCGAUUCCUUUCGUUCCGGAAGCUGGAUUCCACUCCCUGCGUUAGAUGUGAACAAAGACGAUUCUCCCCCUCAUGACCGUGACUUUGGCCCGACCCAGUUACGUGUCGGCAACGCGGAGUAGCACAACAUCCUUGUGGGCGAGAAACUCCAGGAGACUUGCUCGGGAGACUGAUAUCAGCAUAACCUAUUAACUAGGAAGAGGAUGCUAACGGAACUCGCUCAAUGCCUGGCACGCCACCAGCCCUUUGAAGGCCCUCGCCCGAUUGCUCAGUCAUGCAUGAAUUCAUUUCUGUUCAUUCAAUUAUUUGCUCGUAUCACAGAUCACUGGCAGUGCUCAAGAGCAACCAGUUUUCACAUUCGGCCAAGGGGAGAGGGGAAUCAGACACUCCAAACCAACGCACGCUACAUUGCAACACCCACACUCUCAAAUUUUUUAAGAUGGUCUACGCAUGCAGGACUGUCUGUUAAAAAGGAGUGGUGAUUCAUUUCGGAGUUGACAGCUGGAGAUCAAGGUUUGCUCUGGACCUUUGAGAUGCUAAGAGGAUUAAUUCUUUAACCUCCAGAGGGAACCACUCACUAUGAAGCAGUUGCUUGCAUUUUCCAGGGCCUGGAGAACUCACCCCUCCCCCCAAAGAAAAAGAAAAAGAGAACUAGUGAGGAUUCAUUCCCUGCCGAAAUGAUUCGGCGGGCCGCACGAAAUCGAUUCGGCGCGUCCGUUCUGGAUGUGUCAAAUCGAUUUGGCAUGUCCUUAAUGGACGCACCCAAUCAAUUCAUGUGCAUGCCUACCCCAAAGCAAGUAGUAGCCGCUGGGGAGGGAGGCUCAGGAUUAAGACAGAAACUGACGCAAAGGGCUAAAAGCCUCCUUGACCCUUCCAGGAGGAGAGGUCUAUUAGCAACUAUUGACUUGCGUUUGAGGCAGCACACAAAUAUGUUAAAUAAAUAAAUAAAAUAGAUAGAUAGAUAAAUAAAUAAUUGGCCACCACUGUUAAAUGGAGCCUCCAUGUACAAGAGUAGCACUCAUGACUGAAAAUUUGAACUAGGGACCCCUGACGAUUUUUAUCCAGGACUAUCCAGUCCAGAUGAAGAUGUUAUCAAUACAGUAGCUAGGUGCUGCUAUAUAAUCUGUACACCCUGUUCAGAUUCUUAGCAAUAUUAUGUUUCGAAUUACCUGUUUUAUAUUUUUGCUUUGAUUAAUUUGCCCUGUAUAUUGUUUUCUUUUAUUAUUAUUAUUACUUAUCAUUGUUGUUGUUUAUUGUUCUUUAUAUGUAGUUUUGCUUUGUAUUCUGGUCAAUGACUGUAAUAAAGAUUGGAUUGGAUUGAACCAGG